CUUGCGCUGCAUGGCACUCAUGGUCUUCUCCGGCACGCGGUUCUCCAGCCAGGGGAUGGUGCGGCGGAUCCAUUCGAGGAGCUUUCAGAGUGGGGCGAAACACAUGGUGUGCUUAAUAUCCCGCCCAAGGAGAGCUCAGAUCCUGAUGUAUGCAGACGAUCUAGUGCUCAUCUCCCUCUCUCAGUUGGGACUUGAAAAUUUCCGGAAGACUUUCAGUACCUUCUGCCAAGAGGAGUAUCUGCCACUAUAUCUAUUCAGGGCACGUGAUGAUCUACAAUCCUAAAGCCAACUCAAAGCCAAAGGUUUGUCAACUGAAAAAGUGCAGAUCUGAAUGUUCACUGCAAUGUGAACAAGAAAACAAACAGGACAAGAGCCGCAGAAGCAUCAAAAAUAGAGCCCAUAUUUGGAGGUGGUUGGGUCCAGUUUUACUCAAUGUAUUCGAACACACAAUUCAGGCAUUAGUUUUUCUUUAACUUUCCAAACUUUGGGGCGAAUCCCUUAUUGGUGCCAUUGUACAAAAGACAAAUAGUAUAAUGGAAAGAUAAGACAUAGAACUAUGUCCUAGGACAGGAAAAUGUUGCCACCACCAUCCCCUCCGUCUCCAUACCAAGGUGGUACCUAUUGAUCUACUCACAUUUGCAUGUUUUCAAAUUGGUAGGUUGGCAGAAGCUGGGGCUAACAGCGGGAGCUCACCCCAUCCUGCACAUUCGAACUGCCAACUUUCCGGUCAACAAGUUCAACAGCUCAGCGGUUUAACCCACUGUGUCACCAUGGCCCCCUGAGGCCAUAGAAACCCAAUGAGUAUAUUUGCUCAGGCUUAAAAGAAGGCAAAAGCGAACUCCUUCUGAACAAAUAUUGCAGAAAACAAGCAAACAAAUUUUAAGUGUCACCAUACAUCAGGGCUGGAUUGAAGGCAGACAGCAACAACAAGUCUAAAUCAAUGCGCAUUUGUGCACCCUAAUUUUGGCAAGGCAAUCCAGACAAAAUAGAUGAACGCCGGAUUCGAAUAAAUACAGCAGGGGUCCCCAAACUAAGGCCCGGGAGCCACAUGUGGCCCAUCGAAGCCAUUUAUCUGACCCCUACAGCAGAAAGGCAGAAGGGGAUUGGGCUAAAUGACCAAAGGGUUCUCCUAUUAUUAUUAUUAUUAUUAUUAUUAUUAUUAUUAUUAUUAUUAUUAACAUUGAGGCUGGGAGGCCAUCUGUCAGGGGUGCUUUGCUUGUGCUUUUGAUGCACAAAGGCAGAAGAGGGUUGGACUAAAUGGCCCAAGGGGUCUCCUCCAUCCCUCUUUAUUACUGUUGUUGUUGUGGUUAUUAUUAUUACUGACAACAUUGAGGCUGGGAAGCCAUCUGUUAGGGGUGCUUUGCUUGUGCUUUUGGUGCACAAAGGCAGAAGGGGGUUGGACUGAAUGGCCCAAAGGGUCUCUUCCAACCCUCUUUAUUAUUAUUAUUAUUAUUAUUAUUAUUAUUAUUAUUAUUAUUAUUAUUAUUAUUAUUAUUAUUUUAUUGUAUGACACAGCAAACAAGUUAGACAUGCUGGAUUUCAUAUCACAAAAUCACAAGUCGAACACUUCCCAAGUGUCUAGGACUGUGUGAUGUAUUUUCGGAUGAUGCGUGCAGAUCCCAGCAGGGUGGCCUUUUGCAGUUGGCAGAUUGUGAUUUUGUCAAUGUCUAUUGUUUCCAAAUGCCGGCUGAGAUCUUUUGGCACGGCAGCCAGUGUGCCCAUCACCACCGGGACCACCUGCACUGGUUUCUGCCAGAGUCUUUGAAGUUUGAUCUUGAGAUCCUGAUAGCAGCUGAGUUUUUCCUGUUGUUUUUCGUCAAUGCGACUGUCACCUGGGAUGGCGACAUCAAUGUUCCAAACCUUUUUCUUUUCCACAACUGUGAUGUCUGGUGUGUUGUGUUCCAGAACUUUGUCAGUCUGGAUUCGGAAGUCCCACAGUAUCUUUGCAUGGUCAUUUUCCAAUACUUUUGCAGGUUUGUGAUCCCACCAGUUCUUUGCUGCUGGGAGGUGGUCCUUGAGGCAUAAGUUCCAAUGGAUCAUUUGGGCCACAUAGUUGUGCCUCUGUUUGUAGUCUGUCUGUGCGGUUUUCUUACAGCAGCUGAGGAUAUGAUCCAUGGUUUCGUCAGCUUCCUUGCAGAGUCUGCAUUUUGGGUCAUCAGCUGAUUUUUCGAUCUUGGCCUGAAUUGCCUUUGUCCUGAUGGCUUGCUUCUGGGCUGCAAGGAUCAGGCCUUCUGUCUCCUUCUUCAGGGUCCCAUUCGUGAGCCAGAGCCAGGUCUUCUCCUUGUCAGCCUUUCCUUCAAUUUUGUCAAGGAACUUUCCAUGCAAUGUUUUGUUGUGCCAGCUAUCAGCUCUAGUUUGUAGUGUGGCUUUCUUGUACUAGAUUAUUAUUAUUAUUAUUAUUAUUAUUAUUAUUAUUAUUAUUAUUAUUAUUGCUGCUGCUUGGUGGCCAGCUAUAGUCCAGCCCUCCAAUGGUCCAAAGGAUCGUGAACUGGCCCCCUGUUUAAAAAGUUUGGGGACCCCUGAAAUACAGUAUAUGUUUCUUAAAAUUAAAUAACCCAGCCCCUCUUCUCGACCAUAGUGGAUCCCUCCCUGCGGCCAACUGAUAAUAAAUAACCCAGCCAUUGCAAACUUCUUUAAAUAGCUUCCUUCUGGAGGAGGUCCAUCCAUCUUUCAAGGAAAGGAGGGGAAGGGGAGGGGGACCCCCUUGUACCCUAAUUAAGCUCUGCCCUCUUCUAAAAUACGGCCAUGAGCUCAUAGCCCUGGCCGCCGCCUCCUCGCAGGGCAGCACAGGCGAAGGGCAGUUUUUAGACACAGCCUUACAUGGGCAAGGCAUCUGGAAGAACAGCAGCCGCAGCAGCCACCCGAUACCCCACUGGUGCUGCAAAGAAACCACCCCCACAGACCCCUAGCAUCAGCAGGAACCAGUGUCCCCAGCCAUACAUUCGCCCGGGAACAGUCCUAUAUCAGCAAAGUGGGCUGGAAAAGGGCAGCGGGAGGCCAAAAAGCCCCAGGAGGAAGAGGAGGCGCCCAGUGUCUGCAGAGGCUUCCCCUUCUCCAUGCCCUUCUUCAUCAUCCUGGGGCUUCUUGUUUGACACAUUUACUUGGAACUCAAUGAGUGCCUGCCUUUAUUGGUUGGUGAGGACCGUGGUCCAUGUCCUCUUGCAAUGGCAAAGCUUUUUGGAAACAAGGAGGUCCAUGGGUUGUUUGUUGUGUAUUUUCCGGGCUGUACAGCCAUGUUCCAGAAGCAUUCUCUCCUGACGUUUCGCUCACAUCUAUGGCAUGGCCAUACAGCCCGGAAAAAACCCAGGUCACAAAAGCCUUCGACAACACAAAGAGGUCCAUGCUUAUAUCCCUGCAUAGUUCGGGAUCCGUACAGUCUGUUUCCUCCCCAUGCUAUUGUUGCAUGCUUUCAAAGCUGUUUCCGACUCACUUGGAUAAGACUUUAUCGUAAGGAGUUUGUUUUUGCCUUCUUCCGAGGUUCGGAAAGAUCUGAACUUAUGCCUGCAAUCCAAUAGUCAAACCAUUCUGGGCCCUUCUAUAGGUAAAGGUAAAGGUUUCCCCUCUGACUCUGGGGGUUGGUGCUCAUCUCCAUUUCUAAGCCGAAGAGCCGGUGUUGUCCGUAGACACCUCCAAGGUCAUGUGGCCAGCAUGACUGCAUGGAGCGCCGUUACCUUCCCUAUUGAUCUACUCACAUUGGCAUGUUUUCGAACUGCUAGGUUGGCAGGAGCUGGAGCUAACAGCGGCCGCUCACACCGCUCCCAGGGUUUGAACCUGGGACCUUUUGGUCUGCAAGUUCAGCAGCUCAGUGCUUUAACACACACUUUAACACACUUCGCCACCGGCCCUUCUAUAAUGCCAUAUAAAAUCCAGGACGCCCUUGCUCUGUGGUUGGAUUGAAUCUGAUGCACCGUCCCCACCACAUUCAGACGCAAGAGAAGUUAAACCAAGCAUGGGUUCAAAUUUACCAGCGAAACCCAUGACAGAAAGGCCAUAAACUCAAGGUGCUAAGGAGGUCCUUGGAUGCUUGAGUUUGAAUGCCAUUCCAUGUAGGACUACGUGGAGGAGAGAACUUUGUCCUUGAGUGUCCACAUGCAUUUCAUACCAACUGAAACUCACUGUCCCGGACUUCAUAAGACAGGAGGUAGCUGCCUUAUAAUAUCAAAUCGGACUAUUGGUCUGUAUAUCAUAGAAAGCCACAAUCUAAGGCCAAGCAGGCAUUUUUCCAUCCUAUUAAGAAACAUCUCCAUUUUUGGGUUGCUGUGAGUUUUCUGGGCUGUAUGGCUAUGUUCCAGAAGCAUUCUCUCCUGACAUUUUGCCCAGAUCUAUGGCAGGCAUCCUCAGAGGUUAUAAGGUCUGUUGGAAAUUUUAUAUAUCUGGAAUUAUGUCCAGGGUGGGGGAAAGAACUCUAGUCUGUUUAAGGCAAGUGUGAAUGUUGCAAUUGGCCCCCUUGAUUAGCAUUGAAUGUCCUUGCAGUUUCAAAGCCUGGCUGCUGCUUGCAUGGGGGAAUCCUUUGUUGGGAAGUGUUAGCUGGCCCUGAUUGUUUCCUGUUUGGAAAUACCAGAGUGAUUCUUUGUACAAUAAUGUAAUAGUCUGCUGAUGCUGGUGAUCAAGGAAAAAGAAGGAUAUUAGGGGAAUGUUUGGGGGUAGGUCCAUCAUAACCCCUGUGUAAAUAGCAGACCACACCUAUCUUGUCACUCAAUAUUUCAGAAAUAAAAUUAUGGGCGGGGUGGGUGUUAUUUAACAUUUCGAACACCCACUUGUUGUUUGGUGCCUUUAAAUAACUUCUAAUGUAUGCCAAACCUAUCUUGAGGGGUGGGUGGGGUGUUCUUGGCAAAACUAGGUCUCCAAAACCGAAUCCAACACUCAGGCUGGAAAUACACUGACAUAUAAUCUAGAUGAUCAAAUCAGACAUUUCACCAUUAUCUGCUUUCAACUAGAUUAUAUGAGUCUAAAAGUAAAGGUCUUCCCCUGACAUUAAGGCCCGGGCUGUGGCGCAGGCUGGUGAGCAGCCAGCCAGCUGCAGCCAGCUGUAACAAAUUACUCUGACCAAGAGGUCAUGAGUUCGAGGCCAGCUCGGAGCCUAUGUUUGUCUUGUCUUUGUUCUAUGUUAAAGGCAUUGAAUGUUUGCCUUAUAUGUGUAAUGUGAUCCGCCCUGAGUCCUCUUCGGGGUGAGAAAGAAGGGUGGAAUAUAAAUACUGUUAAUUAAUUAAUUAAUUAAUUAAGUCUAGUCGUGUCCCACUCUGGGGGUUGGUGCUCAUCUCCAUUUCUAAGCUGAAGAGUUGUCCGUAGACACCUCUGGAGCAAUACCUAUUAUCUACUCACUUUUGCAUGCUUUCGAACUGCUAGGUUGGCAGAAGCUGGGGCUAACAGCGUGAGCUCACCCCGACAUUUCGGUCAGCAAGUUCAGCGGCUUAGUGAUUCAACCCACAGCGACACAGGGGGCUUUUAUAUGAGUCUACACUGCCAUAUAAUCCAGUUCAAAGCAGAUAAUCUGGAUUUUAUAUGGAGGUAUAGAAGGGGUCUUGAUCAUGCAAUUGAUUAUGCAGAUGUAGCAUAACUACUGUUCAAGGGACCUGUGUUAUGGAAACUACACUGGGGAAAUAGGCAACAGCCAUUGAAACCAUAAGCCGCACUAGGACAUGUUCUCUAAUUCCAUCGCACCAAGAUAUAUUUAGCCGAUUCCUUUCUCUCUCUCGCUCCGUCUCUCCUGGGUCUCCGUCAUUCCAGGCAUUGCUCAGGCAGGGCCCAGGCGGCCCUUGGCGGAUUCCACUCCCAUGACAUAUGCUCUCCUUCACACUGGUGCGAGUCUCCUCUGACGUACUGUACCCAGAAUGUCACUUAUGGUGCCGUACGGGAUGCAGAUCGAGAUGACGGGAAGGGACAGCUGCAGGCAACCCUAUCUCUGGCACGGAGAAUGGCAGCUGGCUCCUCAAACCCGUCCCUUCCCAUCAUUCCUACCAUGCAAUGUGUGUGGACGCAACAGGCCUUUUGUUCCUCUGGACCUAAACACGGUGCAGAAUUCAUUUAGCUUCAAGAUGCAUCCCACACCUUUGGAACAAUGACCUAAUCCCAAUGCCAUAAGUCCCCAUGGGACAGAAGUUUUAUUAUUAUUAUUAUUAUUAUUAUUAUUAUUAUUAUUAUUAUUAUUUUCUUUCCAAAUCUUGCCACCGCCCUAUAGAGCAGGUAUGGGCAAACUUCGCCCCUCCGGGUGUUUUGGUGCGUUGAAGUCCAAAACACCUGGAGGGCCGAAGUUUGCCCAUACCUGCUAUAGAACAUCCAUCAAGGUGAGCCGAAAUGCAUACACACAUGCACACAGAAGCUGAACAGAAGGUGGCGAGAUUAUAUAGAUCUGUAUAGGUAAGAUAAUAAUAUCGAGGAUAGCUUUGAUGGUGUGGUGAGUGAAUUAGAACCAGACAUUCUGAGGAGUGAGGUUGAAUGGGCCUUAAGAAGCAUUGCUAAUAACAAGGCAGCAGGAGACAACGGGAUCCCAGCUGAACUUUUUACAAUCUUGAAAGAUGAUGCUGUCAAGGUGAUGCUGGAAGGUGUUGUGGGUUUUUUUCAUGGCUCUAAAGUGAUUUUUUGAGGGUG